GAGGUCUGUAGCAUCACAUGACCACAGAGAGGUCUGUAGCAUCACAUGACCACAGAGAGGUCUGUAGCAUCACAUGACCCCAGAGAGGUCUGCAGCAUCACAUGACCACAGAGAGGUCUGCAGCAUCACAUGACCACAGAGAGGUCUGUAGCAUCACAUGACCACAGAGAGGUCUGCAGCAUCACAUGACCACAGAGAGGUCUGCAGCAUCACAUGACCACAGAGAGGUCUGUAGCAUCACAUGACCACAGAGAGGUCUGCAGCAUCACAUGACCACAGAGAGGUCUGCAGCAUCACAUGACCACAGACUGACGAGAUCAUCACAUGACCACAGAGGUCUGCAGCAUCACAUGACCACAGAGGUCUGUAGCAUCACAUGACCACAGAGAGGUCUGCAGCAUCACUCGACCACAGACUGACUAGAUGUGUGGAUGAAAUAAGACGGAUGAUGCGUUUGUGAUGCGGUUGCGGAUAAAAUAAUAACCCAUCCGCGCAUCUCUAGUGUGUUUGUUUUAUGUGUAUGUGUGUGAGUGUAUAAUGUGUGUGUGUGUGUGUGUGUGUGUGUAUAAUGUGUUUGUGUGUGUGUAUGUGUGUGU
ensembl:lncRNA